GCUGGGCAUAGUGGCACAUGCCUGUAAUCCCAGCAACUUGGGAGGCUGAGACAGGAGGAUCAAUAGUUCAAGGCAAGUCUCAGCAAUUUAGCAAGACCCUGUCUCAA
rnacentral:sRNA from 1 species